AUCUCCAGUUUGGGCGUCUUACCAGAAAAAUGGUGGACAGCCUUCGCCGGCCAUGAGCUUUGAUUUCCGUUUCAAGCUAUGGUGGAUCAUUCUCGCGAGUCUCGCCGUCAAUAUAGCUUGGCAAAAGGUCGUAGUGGAAGGCCCACUGGCACGGAUUUUAGCUGCAAAGUAUCCCUCAAAGCGACAAAAGCUACACAUUUAGAGUAUAUUUUUAGAAUCGCCAAGAAUGUACGGUACCAAAAAUUUAAAUCUGAAGGGCAAACGCCAUCUUGAAUUC